rnacentral:rRNA from 1 species
GAUGAACGCUGGCGGCGUGCCUAAUACAUGCAAGUCGAGCGAACAGACGAGGAUCUUGCUCCUCUGACGUUAGCGGCGGAUGGGUGAGUAACACGUGGAUAACCUAUCUAUAAGACUGGGAUAACUUCGGGAAACCGGAGCUAAUACCGGAUAAUAUAUUGAACCGCAUGGUUCAAUAGUGAAAGACGGUUUUGCUGUCACUUAUAGAUGGUUCCGCGCCGCAUUAGCUAGUUGGUAAGGUAACGGCUUACAAAGGCAACGAUGCGUAGCCGACCUGAGAGGGUGAUCGGCGACAGUGGAACUGAGACACGGUCCAGACUCCUACGGGAGGCAGCAGUAGGGAAGCUUCCGCAAUGGGCGAAAGCCUGACGGAGCAACGCCGCGUGAGUGAUGAAGGUCUUCGGAUCGUAAAACUCUGUUAUUAGGGAAGAACAAAUGUGUAAGUAACUAUGCACGUCUUGACGGUACCUAAUCAGGAAGCCACGGCUAACUACGUG